ACUUGGGUGGCUCAGUCGGUUGAGCAUCUGACUUCGGCUCAGGUCAUGAUCUCAAUGGUUUCAUGGGCUUGAGCCCCAUAUCAGGCU
rnacentral:tRNA from 1 species